GACGAACGCUGGCGGCGUGCUUAACACAUGCAAGUCGAACGGAAAGGCCCUGCUUUUGUGGGGUGCUCGAGUGGCGAACGGGUGAGUAACACGUGAGUAACCUGCCCUUGACUUUGGGAUAACUUCAGGAAACUGGGGCUAAUACCGGAUAGGAGCUCCUGCUGCAUGGUGGGGGUUGGAAAGUUUCGGCGGUUGGGGAUGGACUCGCGGCUUAUCAGCUUGUUGGUGGGGUAGUGGCUUACCAAGGCUUUGACGGGUAGCCGGCCUGAGAGGGUGACCGGCCACAUUGGGACUGAGAUACGGCCCAGACUCCUACGGGAGGCAGCAGUGGGGAAUAUUACACAAUGGGCGGAAGCCUGAUGCAGCAACGCCGCGUGCGGGAUGACGGCCUUCGGGUUGUGAACCGCUUUCGCCUGUGACGAAGCGUGAGUGACGGUAAUGGGUAAAGAAGCACCGGCUAACUACGUG
rnacentral:rRNA from 1 species